CUUCUCUCCAAUUUUUUCGAGUCCGCCAUUUUUUCUUCAUCGCUUCACUUCGGCAAGUGGCUGCUACACGUCUCAAGUAACGUGCAGGCAACAAAAUCUGCCAUAAUCGUUCCUGAGCACAGCAGUGCUGGUAGAAAAUGCUACUAAAAGUUAAAAUAGCCAACGUCCAAAAGUUUGUUCGAGUUCCAGAGCUGAAUCUGAGAGCAUUUCUGGAUGCAGCAUUUAUUAAGUUCGGUGUUUCACCUGUGACAGAAGGUGUGCACAUCCUUGACAGUUCUGGACCUGAGCUUGAUGAGGAG